rnacentral:rRNA from 1 species
UCUACGGGGGGCAGCAGUGGGGAAUAUUGCACAAUGGGCGAAAGCUGAUGCAGCGACGCCGCGUGAGGGAUGACGGCCUUCGGGUUGUAAACCUCUUUCAGCAGGGACGAAGCGCAAGUGACGGUACCUGCAGAAGAAGCACCGGCUAACUACGUGCCAGCAGCCGCGGUAA